UAUUUUGUAAGUAUAAAAUCUAAGUUUCAUAAACAAAACAGACAUUUUAACAAACAUUUUUUAAAAUGUUUUUCUUUUAGAUAAAUUAUUUCCCCCCGAUUUUAGGAAAAUAUAAAAAUCUAAACUAACUAAGUCUAAAAUUAUAACCCAGUUUAUUCCCCACUGCUAUUUGAAUAAAGAAAUAAAUAUCGAUUUGUUAAAGAAACUUUGUGUAUUUGGGGGAAUAUUGUGUAAUUCUGGUGUGUAAACCGAUCGGUGUGUAAACACUUUCUGCUCUUUGAUCAGAGGACAGAGUUUUUCUGCUUUUCACACUGAUUAUAGCAAGAAGAAAAAUCACCACCAACAAGUGACUGAAACUACGAGCUUGUCUUCAGCAACAACCAGAUGUUCGGGUGUGUAGCAGUUCUUACCCGGUCCAGGUCGAAGUUCUCCUGAGUCUGUAGGAGCGGUUGUGGAGGCAGAGGUCCAGCAUGGAUCAGACCCACGCCAGCCAGCAGGAGAACCAUAAACACAGCCUUCAUUUCUGUUCGUCUCUGAGCCAAAUGAGGUUUUAGUGUGUGGUGAUGAGAGAAAGAGAGAGCACCCCCCCCCCCCCCUUGUCAAAGCCAUCGACCGCAGAUUUAAACCUCACAGUUUACUGAAAGGAAACCAGAGGAAAGGCCUUUAACUGAUCAGAAUCUGAAGAACUCAGUCUACAGGUAAAAGUAACAUUUCAGAGAACAUUCAGGCUGAGCUUCAUCUCACUCAUGAUGUGCUGUGAUCCAACACCACACUGAAAAACAGAAACAGCAGCAGAUGUGGUUCUCCUUCUGUCUGUCACUGUAUACUGCAUGGAGAUGUUUGCUGGAGAAGCUGAAGGAGAAGCAGACCUGACUGAGGAACUGUAUCUCCACCUCAAACACACUGCAGGAGAAAACUCUCCUCCACACAACACUCUCACAACUCCCUGAAGUUCCUCUCACCCUCUUC